rnacentral:lncRNA from 1 species
AACAAGCUAGCAGAGUAACCUUUCCUAACCUGAAAUUUGACCUAUGUAAGGAAUACGUUGGUUAAAUGGGUAGGUUCGGAGUUCGGUUGAAUCCACUUAAGGUUUUAGUAAACUUUGCUAGUGCUGUUUACUUGUUUGGUGUUUCUUUAAAUCGUUCUACUAUGAACAUUUGGUUGUGAUUUCCAUCGAACUUUCUCAAACAGCCA